GCAGCCUCGGGGGCGCGCAGCAGCACGGCUGAGCCGGCGGCAGGAGGACGAGGAGGAGGAAGAAGGGAGGCAGCGAGGAAGGAAUGGAUGAAAAGACUAAGCAAAUAUAGGCUAAAGAGAACGAAAAGCACUUGGAUAAAGAAAUGGAGCUGGGUGCACAGAGGAAGAUAUGGGAGAAAGGGUUUGUCGGUGUGAUGCUGCAACCUUUGGCAAGUGUGAAGGAUGGGGAAAAGGUAGCGGUGGAGGGGAGGGGACCAGAGCAGGACAAGCCAUAGAUGUGUCUGAGAAACUGAGAAGUCGUUUUCUGAAAGUACAUGCAAAGAUAUGUAUAAAAAUACAUU